rnacentral:tRNA from 1 species
AGGAUAAUAGUUAAAAAUAACAUUUAAUUUGCACUUAAAAAGUAUUGGUCACCAAUUUAUCUUA